rnacentral:tRNA from 1 species
AGCGGGGUAGGCCAGCCAGGUAGGCCGCGGGGCUCAUAGGGGACCCCGAGGUCCCGGGUUCAAAUCCCGGCCCCGCUA